rnacentral:miRNA from 1 species
UGGGUGUGGGCUCUGCUCUCUACC